rnacentral:rRNA from 1 species
AUGAAGAACCUGAGGAUGUGCUGUGACUGCCAUGAGACGUUCAAGCUCAUAAGUAGCAUUGUGGAGCGCGAGUUUGUUGUGAGAGAUCUGAAUAGAUUCCAUCACUUCAAGAUGGGUUCAUGUUCUUGCAAUGACUACUGGUGA